AGGUGACCUGCGGAGGAUCA
rnacentral:rRNA from 1 species